CCAACAGGGAUUGCCUCAGUAACGGCGAGUGAAGCGGCAACAGCUCAAAUUUGAAAUCUGGCCCCAGGCCCGAGUUGUAAUUUGCAGAGGAUGCUUUUGGUGCGGUGCCUUCCAAGUUCCCUAGAACGGGACGCCAGAGAGGGUGAGAGCCCCGUACAGUUGGACACCAAGCCUUUGUAAAGCUCCUUCGACGAGUCGAGUAGUUUGGGAAUGCUGCUCAAAAUGGGAGGUAUAUUUCUUCUAAAGCUAAAUACCGGCCAGAGACCGAUAGCGCACAAGUAGAGUGAUCGAAAGAUGAAAAGCACUUUGAAAAGAGGGUUAAACAGCACGUGAAAUUGUUAAAAGGGAAGCGCUUGUGACCAGACUUGCGUCCGGUGAAUCACCCAGCUCUCGCGGCUGGGGCACUUCGCCGGCUCAGGCCAGCAUCAGCUCGCUGUCGGGGACAAAAGCUUCAGGAACGUAGCUCUCUUCGGGGAGUGUUAUAGCCUGUUGCACAAUACCCUUCGGCGGGCUGAGGUACGCGCUCCGCAAGGAUGCUGGCAUAAUGGUCAUCAGCGACCCGUCUUGAAACACGGACCAAGGAGUCAACCUUAUGUGCGAGUGUUCGGGUGUCAAACCCCUACGCGUAAUGAAAGUGAACGCAGGUGAGAGCUUCGGCGCAUCAUCGACCGAUCCUGAUGUUCUCGGAUGGAUUUGAGUAAGAGCAUAUAGGGUUGGACCCGAAAGAAGGUGAACUAUGCGUGUAUAGGGUGAAGCCAGAGGAAACUCUGGUGGAGGCUCGCAGCGGUUCUGACGUGCAAAUCGAUCGUCAAAUAUGCGCAUGGGGGCGAAAGACUAAUCGAA
rnacentral:rRNA from 1 species